AUAAAUCAACAAUGCUUUUAAAAAAACCUUAGGAACUUCUGUUCUUAUCUCAAAUGGAGAUUCAAUAAAAAAUUAUAAUUCCUGUCAUAGAUUCUUGUAAAGCGGUGUGGGACCAUUCGCCACAGCAGAUUCGCUGCCUACAAUUAGCCACUGCCCUUUGACCACCGAGGACGCUUAGCCACCGCCCAUUGGCCACUGAAGACGAUUCGCCACAGCAAGUCUGACUCCACUCGAUAGUAACUCCUUCCCAACUGUUCCUGUCCAGUGUAACUAUCAGGAUGCCGAAUGAUACCAGUUUGCUCCCCGACCUGCAGAGCUUCUCCAACACGUUCUCUUUUUAUCUCAGCUCGCCAGCAUUUUAAUUUUAUUUUAUUAAUCAAGCAUCUCUAAAGUUUAAAAAAAAAUGCAGAUGGCACUUUCGAGUUUGGAACUAGAAAAACAGAUGUCCAGAAACUGACUCAUAACUUCAGAAAAGAGAUUAAUGCUUAAACACUACAGCACUUAAACAUCUUGAGAUGAUGGCAUUGAGCAGAUCUUAUCCAUCCUUCAUAAGCUUUUACAUCUGAUUCAACAGUCUGUCAUGACUACACUGUUAAGAGUCCUGCAAGCAGUUCUGCUUGUUUUAUUAUAGAAAGCAUGGGUAUUGGAGAUGGUGCAGAGAAUAUUUCCAAGUAUAAUACCAGCAAUGCAUAUCAUAAAAGAACUGACUUGGUAGAUCUCUUUCCUUCUGAGAGAAAAGAAUGUUCAGGGUGAUCUAAUUAAGGUCAUUAAAGCUAUGAAAGCUUCCAACAGAGUGGAUACAAAGAGAAUGUUUCCUAGCUGGAAGAGUGCCAUUAGAUGUCACCAAAAUGGGAUAGCUACUAAGAAAUUCCACAGGAAAUUCAGGGAGAAAACAACUUAACCUAAUGAGUGGAUAAAGGAGAAACAAAACAAGCAUUUGGAGGAGAUGGGAAAAAAUAGUUAUGAUGCUGAUUUGGAUGAGCAAAGAUAGAAAAAGACUCAAGUGGAGCAAGAGCUGUCAGUGCCAAGUUUCUGUUUAUACUUCUUUCACCAUCCUAUGUAAACGUUAAGAAGCAUUUAAUUCCCUAAAAAAAAACUCUCAAGAUAUUACACUUGAAUUGCAAGCAGCAGUUACUAAGUGAUUAAUCUUUAAAUCCAGACAACCUCAAGUCAUUUCGACAUGAUCGGUGAACUGAAGUGGGAACAGAGUGAGACAAACUUCCAAGAUGAGAAUUUGUCUGCAGUAACCAAUCUAGAGUGGAAAGGGAAGGGACAACUUGAGUCAUUCAAUUUAAAUUGAACUAGAUAAGAAUAUAAGUUUAGUUUGUAUUUAUAUUAAACAAGUAAUAACAGGAACAUAUGAGCAGGCGACAUUGAAAGAUGCUUCCUUCAGUUUGAAUUAACUUGGACAAAGAUAUCUGCAAAAGUGCCACCAACUGUAAUGACUUAAAUUCAAGGUCUGGGAACUGGACUUUGAUUUAUCAGAGAGUGCAUAAGUUUUUUGGAAUUAGAAUUUGAAGAGUAAAUGUUGUAUUGUUUC